CCUCUAGUGCAGAUCUUGGUGGUAGUACCAAAUACUCAAAUGAGAACUUUGAAGACUGAAGUGGGGAAAGGUUCCACGUCAACAGCAGUUGGGCGUGGGUUAGUCGAUCCUAAGAGAUGGGGAAGCUCCGUUUCAAAGGCCUGAUUUUCCAGGCCACCAUCGAAAGGGAAUCCGGUUAAGAUUCCGGAACCUGGAUAUGGAUUCUUCACGGCAACGUAACUGAGUGUGGAGACGUCGGCGUGAGCCCUGGGAGGAGUUAUCUUUUCUUCUUAACAGCUUAUCACCCUGGAAUUGGUUUAUCCGGAGAUAGGGUCUUAUGGCUGGAAGAGCUCAACAUUUAUGCUGAGUCCGGUGCGCUUACGACGGCCCUUGAAAAUCCACAGGAAGGAAUAGUUUUCAUGCCAGGUCGUACUGAUAACCGCAGCAGGUCUCCAAGGUGAACACCCUCU
rnacentral:rRNA from 1 species